rnacentral:tRNA from 1 species
GGGGAUUUAGCUCAGCGGCAUAAGCGCCUGCCUUGCAAGCAGGUAGUCAUGAGUAUCAAUCCCUG